CUGGGAUCCUGAGAUUCUGAGUGUCCCCAAACCUCUGGAUGUCCAUACCUGUUUUCACCUCUGGGGCCUGCAGCUGGAGGUGGGGAAGCUCAUGGCAGUGACCUCUCAUCCAUAGCUGCAGCACAAGGUGUGGGAUGGUGGCUGCUGUGGCAGGAAGGCAAAUGUUCAAUGGCUUCUAGCCCCGGGAAAGGUGGAUGGAUCUUGAGGCUGAGGGAUGAGAGGGGAAGCAAGGUUUCCCUCUGUAUGGCCCAGGCUCAGUGGGGGGCCCUGGGCUGGGAGCUCUGGGAGGGUGACAUGGCCGGAUCCCAAGCUCUAGGCUGGGACAGCUCUAUUGCUGGAAAGGGGCCUGCUCUGAGGGCUGACUCAGGCUCUGUGCAGUCCGUCUUCAAGAGGGGGCCUUUCUCAUAGUGAUGGAGUCCUUGGGGUGUUUCACAGAGUAGAGCUGGACGUAUGGGAGGGCUCUCGGCUCCCAGGCUUGCAGUGGACUCCAAGAACCCUCCAGGGCCACAUUACAGAGUCACCUUUACCCUCCUGGGCACUCGAGAAUGCUACCAUCAAGCCCCAGGCCUGAGUGGGCAUGCCCAGUGAUAGGGUGAGUGUGGGCAAGACAGCCUGAGUGCUGACAGGGACAGGGACAUCCAGACUCAGUUUCCAGGCCCCCGGGUUGCCUGCCCCACUUGGACCCCUCCCCCAUUUUCUCCUGGGGCCAAAGUCCCUCCUCCAACCUCUUUUCCAGGGCAAGUCUGACUAAGCUGCUGCUUGCUUAAAUGCAACAGGGAUCUUAGCCCUUGCUAAGGAAGCUCUGCAUGGGCAGCUCUCAGAUGUAGGGGAGAAAUCUGUCUAGGGCCUCCCCGUUUCUCUGAAAUUGAGUCUCCAGAACUGUUUCUCCCCUGGCUGGCCCCUUGGUGGUUCACUAGGCUGACCCUGGCCCUGCUAUUUUCUAGGGAUGGGCCUUGCCCUCUGUAAGGCCACUGACUCAGUGAGGGCUCAGUUUGCCAGGGGCCUGAGCAGGGCAGGGACUUUGAUAAUUCUUCUAGCACCUGCUCCAGUGGGGGAGGCAGGGGUUGUGUUUGUGUUAUGAAGGGACCACUGUGGUCACCUGUGUGGAGGGUGGAACAGAGUGGGUGCAGAGAGGCAAGAAGACAGUGUUAUGGGAGGGUGACUGCGGCACUUAGGGGAGGAUAAGUUCAGGUGCAGACUGUUGGGGAAGAGCCCUGCAGGUCUCCCUGGGGUGCUACCCUAUCCAUCUCUGGCCUUAAUUCUCCUCCUGUGCCGGGCUGGAGGUGUUGGAGACUCUGGUGUUCUGAGCCCUAGAGAGGCCCCUUCUGGACUCUGAGCUUCGGGCUGGGGGCGGUUGGGGGAGGCGACAGCUGCUUUGAAAUGUGGAGAAUAAUAAAGUGAGGAAUGUCUGAGCUCAGGGGAAAAAAAAAACCCUGCUCGCCAGGCCUCCCACCCAGCCGAGCAUAAUGAAUUAAGUAUAGGCAGGCACGUUUCAUGUGGGGGUGUGGGUUGGGGGAAGCAAGAAGGCCCCAAAUGAGAAACAGGGUCCUGGGCAGGCUGCCGGGAGCUGGGGGUUCUGGGCAUCUGACCCGACCCCUGGGGAUGCCCUCACUCCCCAGAAGCUUCCCCUCCACCUUCCCUUGGUCUGUAUGGGUGAAUGGGUGAAAUGUGUCCCAACCCUAUGUUGACAUCUGACCUCAGGCUGCACGCUGGUGCUAACCCUGUCCCCAAAAGGCCAGAAAUAGGAGAAGGUGUGGUUGACUCGGAGGGAUCAUCUCUUCAUUCUCACCCUUCUACAUGCAUUUAUUGAACACCGAUGGCAUGCCUUCUCCAUGCUGGAUGAUGGAGUCAACGCUGCCCCCUGUUGGACUGACUGAACCUGCAGUCCUGCCCAUCAGCCUCUGGGGAGCAAGCCCUGAGGCUUUGGAAUGCGUCCUGCUUCCAGUCUCCCAGCCCUCCACUUCCUCUGGCCAGUUCCUCACAUAUCCCCUCUGCUCCAUGUGAGGUCAUCCUCCCUUCCCACCCUUCUGUCCUUGGCACCAGCUCAGCCUCCCUGCCCCAAUCUCCCUGGGGCUUGGACAUCAGUGGCUUCCAGGCCCAUGCUUUCAGGUUGUUACUCAUGCUGUUUCCUUUUGCUUAUCUGCCUGGUGGACCUCAUUCAUUGAACGCCAAGACUGCUUUAUAAAAGACCACACCGGCCAGGCGCGGUGGCUCAUGCCUGUAAUCUCAGCACUUUGGGAGGCCGAGGCAGGCAGAUCACUUGAGGUCAGGAGUUCAAGACCAGCCUGGCCAACAAUGCAAAACCCUGUCUCUACUAAAAAUAGAAAAAUUAGCUGGACGUGGUGGUGCGUGCCUGUAAUCCCAGCUAUGCAGGAGGCUGAGGCAGGAGAAUUGCUUGAACCCCAGAGGCGGAUGUUGCGGUGAGCUGAGAUCAAGACACUGCACUCCAGCCUAGGUGACAGGGUGAGUGAGACUCCAUCUCCAAAAAAAAAAAAAAGACCUCCCCUUCCCAGAGUGGCCCAGGGAAUAGUAGGUAAGUAACUGAGCCAUCAGCGAAAGGGCAAAUUCUCAGCCAGGGAGCCGGAGAGUGGUGGAGGCAGGUAGUAGGGCUGUUCCUUGGGCUCUCCAGCAGGGAUUCUUGCCUCCCAGCCUCUGCCGGGUUGGGGCAAGACUCCCACUUUAUUUUUAAGAAGUCUGGCCUGGAACUUGGAGCUCCUUGAAAUAUUCUCCCCUACAGUCCCUUCUCUCCCCCACCCACUUUAAUGAAAACCAUUGUUUUUCAAGCACAUGUUAAUUAAAAAGCAAACAUGCUUUGCUAAGUAAUUUGGAAGCUCUGGUUCUGCAAACCAUAGCCAUUCCAGUUAAAUAACAUCCCUCACCCAGCUUGCCCCAGUGUUUUGGGAGCUGAAGACCCCCGUGGGUACUGCAGAUGCACUUUACAGUUUAGGCACCCUGUGGUGGAGUGGUCAGGAUAGGGUGUCCUCUCUAUCUCACA
rnacentral:lncRNA from 10 species